rnacentral:lncRNA from 1 species
AGGCGCGGCGAGGCGGGUGGCGCGCGGCAGCAGGGUUGGGCUCUCGCCGUGAGUCGACGAAGGGAGCGCGGGCGCGCGCCCGCGUCCGCGCACUGAGAGUCGCCUCGGCCGCUCGCUUUCUCGACUCCCGCCUCGCGCCUCGAUCCUGUUCCGCCUCCCUCGGCCCUCCUGCCCGCCCCCACUCGUCGGCCCUCAGCUCAGAGACCUAAUAGGAUGGGGUCUUAGAGAAACAUCUUUUGAGCCACAGACUUCUUUGUUACCAGAAGGAAAAUGAAAGAAGAAAUUUAAAUACCACUUGAAGAGAGCUGAUCGCCACCAACUGGCCUCUGGGUGGAUUUGGCCAAUGGAAGCACCUGUAGAGGGAAGAGAGUGAGGUUAGGAUAUUUCUUCCUGCUGUCUCCGUGCUUCCCUGCAGAGAGUGUGAAGAAAUGACCCUGAAAAGCCUCUGGCAGAGGAUUCUUCUUUCAGGAUGGUGUCGCCUCCUCAGCAGCCCAUCCUCCUCCCCUGGACUCAAGCUCUCAUUCCAGUAACACUCCUUCCUCCUUCUCCAUCUUCAGGGGGAGGUUUGCCAGUCGGUGCUGCCCAGUUCAUGAGUGCUGCUGCUGUCCUGCCCAAGUACCCAGCUUGCAGAGUGCCAGAGUUAGAGUCCCAGGGGUGUUCUCCACAGCUGCAUGCUUGAUCCAGGCCUAUCAGAUAUAUUCCAUUGAAAGUCCUCAUUCUCAAAUUUAAAACAAAGACUUUUUGUGUACCUCAAUAGCAAUGCACACACAGUUGGCUUCACAAACAUAUUGUACAUUUCUUUUUUUCAUAUUUAUUCAACAAAUGUAUAUUGACUACCCACCGUGUGACAGGUGUUAUUUGUUGACGGAACCAGGCAUCAUCAGCAAACAAAACUGACAAAGCUUCCUGCCCUCUGUGGAAGGCAUCUGAGGAAGAGACUGGAUUUUGUAGCAACAUGUUAUUCUCAUUAUAAACUUUAUCAUUGGAAUACUAAAGCCAAAUCAUCCCCCAUCUCCUUGAUCAGGAUACCCACUUAAUCUAGGCAGCUACACAAUUGUGAGAGCCUUUGUUUUUUUCUGCUGAAACAUCCUUAAAAAGAUACCUCACAACCCAAGAUUUGGCUUUUCUUAAAUACGAUUUUUAAUUUUUUUCAUUUCUAUCUAGAGAUUUAAUUGGAAAUGGAAAAUCAUCAAUUUUCCAAUUAAAUGUCUGUUCCAAUCAACAUUAUACCUUUUAGGUUGUCAUUGUCAUUUUUAAGUUUAAGCAACUUUAAGGAUUUUGAAUCUGGCUGCCUGUAAAUUAAAGGUGAAAGUAAUCAUUGUGUUGGAUUGGAACAUUUUGUCAAUUGAGAGUGGUUUCCUUGUUCUUAGUGUAUGAAAAGUUUAUUUUUCUAAUGUAGAUUAAUAAAGGAGAUAAAGAAAAACAAAAUGAGU